UCAAAUUCAUAAAUAAAUUGAAGGGAUAAAGAUUAUUCCUAAUUCAAAAAUUUUAACAUGGAGCAGAAGCACUCGAGAGCUUAAAGGAAGGAUGUUACCUUUCGGGGAGCAGCAAAACAGGACAUACGAGCUAUCAGCACGGCUGUCACCAUUGGGAGCUUGAUGUUCUCGAGUUGGGCACUCCCAAUUGGUCGACUAGCUUACUAGAAGUAAUGGACGAGAAAAUUUUAG
rnacentral:lncRNA from 1 species